GAUUGUCGCUGGCAGAGUCAUAUCUGCGAGAGGAAAGUCGGGACAGCACAGAGCACCGUACUUCUUAACAGGAAGGUGUCGAUAAGACAACAGCAAGUGCCACAGAAAAUUACCGCUCUUCGGAGUAAGGGUGAAAAUGUGAGGUAAGAGCUCACGCGAAAUCGUGGUGACAUGGUUUCGGGGUAAACCUUACGGGCUGCAAAACCAAAUAUACCGACGUUUGAGGGCUGCUCGUCCGAGUCGGGAGGGUAGGUCGCUUGAGACUGCCGGCAACGUCAGUCCUAGAGAAAUGACAAUCACCUUG
rnacentral:RNase_P_RNA from 1 species